GGGCUCGUGGCGAAACGGUAGACGCGCUAGACUUAGGAUCUAGUGGGGCAACCCAUCCGGGUUCGAGUCCCGGCGAGCCCA
rnacentral:tRNA from 1 species